rnacentral:rRNA from 1 species
GACUACAGCCAUAUCACCCUGAAUACACACAGCUUUGUCUGAUCUCAGAAGCCAAGCAGGGUUGAGCCUGAUUAGCACUUAGAUGUGAGAAAGGUGCAGGCAAUAGAGGCGUUGUUUAUU